rnacentral:rRNA from 1 species
UACGCAGGGGGCUAGCGUUGCUCGGAAUGACUGGGCGUAAAGGGCGCGUAGGCGGCUUGUACAGUCAGGCGUGAAAUUCCCGGGCUCAACCUGGGGGCUGCGCUUGAGACGCGCGAUCUUGAGUGGGGAAGAGGGUCGUGGAAUUCCCAGUGUAGAGGUGAAAUUCGUAGAUAUUCGGAAGAACACCAGUGGCGAAGGCGACUCACUGGACACGUAUUGACGCUGAGGUGCGAAAACGUGGGGAGCAAACAGG